rnacentral:rRNA from 1 species
UACGAAGGGGGCUAGCGUUGCUCGGAAUCACUGGGCGUAAAGCGCACGUAGGCGGAUUGUUAAGUCAGGGGUGAAAUCCUGGAGCUCAACUCCAGAACUGCCCUUGAUACUGGCGGUCUCGAGUCCGGGAGAGGUGAGUGGAACUGCGAGUGUAGAGGUGAAAAUUCGUAGAUAUUCGCAAGAACACCAGUGGCGAAGGCGGCUCACUGGCCCGAUACUGACGCUGAGGCACGAAAGCGUGGGGAGCAAACAGGG